CGGGGACCCGCACAAGCGGUGGAUGAUGUGGAUUAAUUCGAUGCAACGCGAAAAACCUUACCUACCCUUGACAUGUCCGGAAUCCUGCAGAGAUGCGGGAGUGCCCGAAAGGGAAUCGGAACACAGGUGCUGCAUGGCUGUCGUCAGCUCGUGUCGUGAGAUGUUGGGUUAAGUCCGCUAACGAGCGCAACCCCCGUCGUAUGUUAUAUGUGUCAUACGAGACUGCCGGUAAAAAGCCGGAGGAAGGUGAGGAUGAUGUCAAGUCAGCAUGACCUUUAUAUCCAGGGCUACACACACGCUACAAUGGUCUGUACAAUGGGUAGCCAAGCCGCGAGGCGGAGCCAAUCCUGAAAGCAGGCCUCAGUUCAGAUUGCAGUCUGCAACUCGACUGCAUGAAGCCGGAGUUGCUAGUAACCGCAGGUCAGCAAUACUGCGGUGAAUACGUUCCCGGGUCUU
rnacentral:rRNA from 1 species